rnacentral:piRNA from 2 species
UGGAAAGCUGACUGGGCCAUGGGCCUUGGU